rnacentral:rRNA from 1 species
UACGAAGGGGGCUAGCGUUGCUCGGAAUCACUGGGCGUAAAGGGUGUGUAGGCGGUUUUCUAAGUAUGGUGUGAAAUCUCCCGGCUUAACUGGGAGGGUGCGCCGUAGACUGUGGGGCUAGAGUGUGGGAGAGGAAAGUGGAAUUCCUGGUGUAGCGGUGAAAUGCGUAGAUAUCAGGAGGAACACCGGUGGUGUAAACGGCUUUCUGGACCAUAACUGACACUGAGGCACGAAAGCGUGGGUAGCAAACAGG